GUGUUAGAGUGUGUGUUAGAGCAUUAGUAAGAGUGUAUUGGAGUGUGUUGGAGUGUUGGUUAGAGUGUAUGUUAGAGUGUGUGUUAGAGUGUGUGUUGGAGUGUUGGUUAGAGUGUGUGUUGGAGUGUUGGUUAGAGUGUGUGUUAGAGUGUGUGUUGGAGUGUGUUGGAGUGUUGGUUAGAGUGUAUGUUAGAGUGUGUGUUAGAGUGUGUUAGAGUGUGUGUUAGAGUGUGUGUUAGAGUGUGUGUUAGAGUGUGUUGGAGUGUUGGUUAGAGUGUGUGUUAGAGUGUGUGUUAGAGUGUGUGUUAGAGUGUGUGUUAGAGUGUGUGCUAGAGUGUGUGUUAGAGUGUGUGUUGGAGUGUGUUGGAGUGUUGGUUAGAGUGUGUGUUAGAGUGUGUUGGAGUGUUGGUUAGAGUGUAUGUUGGAGUGUGUGUUAGAGUGUGUGUUGGAGUGUUGGUUAGAGUGUGUGUUGGAGUGUUGGUUAGAGUGUGUGUUGGAGUGUUGGUUAGAGUGGUGUGUUGGAGUGUUGGUUAGAGUGUGUGUUAGAGUGUGUGCUAGAGUGUGUUGGAGUGUUGGUUAGAGUGUGUGUUGGAGUGUUGGUUAGAGUGUGUGUUAGAGUGUGUGCUAGAGUGUGUUGGAGUGUUGGUUAGAGUGUGUGUUGGAGUGUGCUGGAGUGUUGGUUAGAGUGUGUGUUGGAGUGUGUUAUAGUGGUGUGUUGGAGUGUUGGUUAGAGUGUAUGUUAGAGUGUGUGUUAGAGUGUGUGUUGGAGUGUGUGUUAGAGUGUGUGUUAGAGUGUGUGUUGGAGUGUUGGUUAGAGUGUGUGUUAGAGUGUGCUGGAGUGUUGGUUAGAGUGUGUGUUGGAGUGUGUUAUAGUGUGUGUUGGAGUGUUGGUUAGAGUGUGUGUUGGAGUGUGUUGGAGUGUUGGUUAGAGUGUGUGUUGGAGUGUUGGUUAGAGUGGUGUGUUGGAGUGUUGGUUAGAGUGUGUGUUGGAGUGUUGGUUAGAGUGUGUGUUAGAGUGUGUGCUAGAGUGUGUUGGAGUGUGUGUUGGAGUGUGUGUUAGAGUGUGUGUUAGAGUGUGUGUUGGAGUGUUGGUUAGAGUGUGUGUUGGAGUGUGUUAGAGUGUGUGUUGAGUGUUGGUUAGAGUGUAUGUUAGAGUGUGUGUUAGAGUGUGUUGGAGUGUUGGUUAGAGUGUGUGUUAGAGUGUAUGUUAGAGUGUAUGUUAGAGUGUGUGUUGGAGUGUGUGUUAGAGUGGUGUGUUGGAGUGUGUUGGAGUGUUGGUUAGAGUGUGUGUUUGGAGUGUGUGUUAGAGUGUGUGUUGGAGUGUUGGCUAGAGUGUGUGUUGGAGUGUGUGUUAGAGUGUGUGUUGGAGUGUGUGUUAGAGUGUGUGUUAGAGUGUGUUGGAGUGUUGGUUAGAGUGUGUGUUAGAGUGUGUUGGAGUGUGUUGUUGGCGUGUUGGUUAGAGUGUGUGUUAGAGUGUGUGUUAGAGUGUUGGUUAGAGUGUGUGUUAGAGUGUGUGUUUGGAUGUUGGUUAGAGUGUGUGUUAGAGUGUGUUGGAGUGUUGGUUAGAGUGUGCGUUAGAGUGUGUGUUAGAGUGUGUGUUGGAGUGUUGGUUAGAGUGUGUGUUAGAGUGUGUUGGAGUGUUGGUUAGAGUGUAUGUUAGAGUGUGUGUUAGAGUGUGUGUUGGAGUGUUGGUUAGAGUGUGUGUUAGAGUGUGUUGGAGUGUUGGUUAGAGUGUGUGUUAGAGUGUGUGUUGGAGUGUGGUUAGAGUGUGUGUUAGAGUGUGUUGGAGUGUUGGUUAGAGUGUGUGUUAGAGUGUAUGUUAGAGUGUGUGUUGGAGUGUUGGUUAGAGUGUGUGCAAGAGUGUGUGUUAGAGUGUGUGUUGGAGUGUUGGUUAGAGUGUGUGUUGGAGUGUGUUGGAGUGUGUGUUGGAGUGUGUUGGAGUGUGUGUUG
ensembl:lncRNA